AGGUUUUAUAAAGAAGGGUAGGCUAUCCCAUAAUGCACUGCAAAUGUCUGUCAGCGGACAUUGAGCACCUCCUAAUGAACUUACUGGCUAACAGUCACAACAAAAACAGAACAGUGUAUUGCUAAUUAAGAACAUACUCUCAAUACGUCUUAGAAGGAGGAUACAAACAAGCCUAACAUAAUGAGUGGUCUACGCACUGUCCUGGUCUCUACUGGGUUUGUCGGUGUGGUAGGCAUUGGAUAUGGAAUGUGGUCAGUGAUUACACCAGGAGAGGAAAGGAAGAGGGAAAUGCUCAAGAAUCUACCCGAAGCUAACCCACUGAGAAUGGAGGAGACAAGGAAGAGGAACGCCCUCAUGAUGCAGGUGCUGAAGGAAGCUGCAGAGACCGAUGACAACAUUGCGAGAGGAUUGGGCCCUAUGAGAUCCCAGAAAUAGUCAUGCUCACAUGCUGGUCAUGUUCUCCUGCUCAGACAUCACAUGCAUCAUCCAAUGGUUGCGUGCCAUGUCAUUGACUGUGCCGUCAGGCACCAGAUUGCUACCACGUGGUUAGCUGAUACGUAAAAAAAAAACUAUCCAGAUCUGACAUGCGAUGUCUGAGCAGGGGAACCAGACCACUGUCUUCACAUUGAUUUGAAAGACGUGGGGAAGAGACCAUACUAUUACAGAUGACACACCAGUAAACCUGAGCUUCACCACUUCCUCUUAAGAGACAAGAUUAUAUUGGCUAAGUGUUUGCAUUUGUGUUGAGUAUGAAUGAGUGUAAGGGGCGUUAAGUACUUUGUUUCACUGAAUGAGAAAGUGCUGAAAAUAAGAGGCAAUGGUUCCCAAACUUCACGACUUGAACACAUGCUCUGUUACAUUGAAACAAAGCAUAUUUAUUACAAUAAUAGUGUUGUAUAUAAUUCAUUAAUCAUUUUUGCUCGCUGAACAUGCUUGUGAUGGUCACAACAAUGUAUGGCUAAUAAAAUGUAAACAAUCCUGCCUAGUUUUUUUAUAUUGAAUAUUUUCUGUUACAUUUUGUAAAACCAAUUCGAUUUCAUGGAUAGAGUAACGUUUUUAAAUUAUGUAGUUUACAUGAUCAUGAAUAUAAUUCUGUUGUCACUUGUCAGCGGACCAGUGUUGGACCCUUUUACCGGUUGCACCCAUUUCCGGCUUUAGAAAAUGACGUUCAUUUCAACUGAUGUCGAAGGUUGCGGUCAGAUUCAUGCACAACACAUGCAGUCGUAAUCGUCACACUUCAGUGGUCGUAACUGUGAUCGUGAUUACAUUUUUAACUGUCUGAUGUACGUUUUAAUAAGUGAUUAUAGUAAUUUGUCAAGUUAGCUGCUUGGUAGUUAUCACAUCUAGCCAAGCACAGCUAACGAGCUAGUUAGCAUAAAUCCAUUUUUUUUUUUGACAAUGUCAACACCAGAGCCAUUUCCCGUACCACCGGGCUCAGUAUCACCUGCAGCGGGUCAAAUGUUUGGGAGCUGCUGGAGUUGUCGGAUUCUUUCAGGUGGAGGUCUGCUGUUAGGAGCUGGAUAUGUCUUCCUAGCCGCCCGAAAAGUAAUGCGCCAAGGUGGAACAACCUCAAUGGGAACUGUCGCACAAGUCGCGUUUGCAGCAAGUUUGGCUGCUUGGGGAGUCGUGGUCAUCGCUGACCCUGUGGGGAAAUCACACAGGAAGGCUUGAAGAUGCUCUGACAGAUGGAAUUAUUUGAAGCUGCUGAAGUAUAAGCCAUGGUCAUAUCCAAGAUCACUUUGACAGAUAGUGAUCUUGGCAUAAUGGAUGAGAACAUGCCAAAGACUAUUCUCAUCAUCUGUCAGUGUGACCUGUCUAUAAUACAUUAAAUAAAUUGAGAACUUGUGCACUUGGAACUACCUUGUGCAAGUAAGAAUUUCAUUGGA